rnacentral:lncRNA from 1 species
CUCAGCCAUGUUCUAUGUGUGGAGGGCUUUCUCGAAUAGGUUAGCAACAAAACAGAAUUUGCUCAAAAGAGGAGUGUCUUUAGGAGAUUCUUUAUGCGUUUUAUGUGGAAGGGAAGAGGAGACAAUUGCACACACCCUCCUUACAUGUAGGGAAUCAUGUAAAGUAUGGAACAUGUGUUCCACCUGGAUGGGAAUUUGUUCUGUGUAUCACAAUGAGCUCAUUAAUCAUUUUGAACAAUUCUCUUGUAGGUGCUUUAACAAGGAAGGCAAUAGGUUAUGGAAAAG